rnacentral:rRNA from 1 species
GAUGAACGCUAGCGGCAGGCCUAAUACAUGCAAGUCGAACGGUAAGGCCCUUUCGGGGGUACACGAGUGGCGGACGGGUGCGUAACGCGUAUGCAACAUGCCUUCCAGCGGGGGAUAUACCAGGGAAACUUGGCGCAAUACCCCAUAGAAUUACGGGACCGCAUGGUCUUGUGAUUAAAACUCCGGUGCUGGGAGAUUGGCAUGCGUGACAUUAGCUAGUUGGCGGGGUAACGGCCCACCAAGGCGACGAUGUCUAGCUGGUCUGAGAGGAUGAUCAGCCACACUGGGACUGAGACACGGCCCAGACUCCUACGGGAGGCAGCAGUGGGGAAUAUUGGACAAUGGGCGCAAGCCUGAUCCAGCAAUGCCGCGUGGGUGAAGAAGGCCUCGG